rnacentral:rRNA from 1 species
GCCGCGGUAAUACGUAGGUGGCAAGCGUUGUCCGGAAUUACUGGGUGUAAAGGGAGCGCAGGCGGGUUUGCAAGUUGGAUGUUUAAUGGAGGGCUCAACCCUUCUCGCAUUGGAACUAGUCAAACUUAGAGUGCAGAAGGGGAGGAGUGGAAUUCCAUGUGUAGCGGUGAAAUGCGUAGAUAUAUGGAGGAACACCGGUGGCGAAAGCGGGUCGACGCGGCCGAGUCGUGGGAGCAAG